UACAGGAGGCAACAGUGGGGGUGGACAAUGGGGAAACCUGAUCCAGCCAUCCCGCGUGUGCGAUGAAGGCCUUCGGGUUAUAAAACACUUUUGGCAGGAAAGAAACGGCACGGGAUAUGCCCAUUUUGCCCAAUAAACACCUGCAGAAUAAGCACCGGCUAACUACGUGCCAGCCGCCGCGGUAAUACGUAGGGUGCAAGCGUUAAUCGGAAUUACUGGGCGUAAAGCGUGCGCAGGCGGUUCGGAAAGAAGAUGCCAAAUCUCUGAGCUUAACUGGAACUGCAUUUUAACUACGAGCUCAGUGUGUCAGAGGAGGUGGAAUUCCGCGUGUAGCAGUGAAAUGCGUAGAUAUGCGGAGGAACACCGAUAGCGAAAAACAACCUCCUGGGAUAACACUGACGCUGUAAAAGCGUGGGGCAAACGAGUUAGAUGCCCCCGUAG
rnacentral:misc_RNA from 1 species